UAAGCUUAAAGCAUGGAUCCAACCUCAAACUGCUAGAAAAUGGCGGACCUAGAAUUGGUGCUUGAGGAGCCCUGAAAGAGAACACUAAAGAACAAGAGAACAGCAGAAUAAGGACAUCUUGAGUAAGAGUUGAGAAAUGGGAAGAUCAAUGAUGCUGUCAGAGACCCAAGGUCUACAUUCCUGCUCUGUCAUCAUUUGUUCAUGGCUCUUGUCCUCAUGCUUUGAAGAUGGCGGCAGCAUCUCCAGGUGUACAAAGAGGAAGGAGAGAGGUGAAAGGGUUUUCACAAGAUAAAAAGGGCUGUAAAACUUGGAGAGAGGAAACAAAGGGGACUAGAAAGAUCAGAUGUCUUUUCUCACUGUGAAAUCACGUAUAUCUCCCCACUGCAAGAGAUGCAGCUACCCUUUGCUUUUUCUGAGAUCUCCUUUGGUCUUUGCACUGCAGAGGCAGAGACAAAGACUCUGACAACAGCAGGAGAGUGUGAGACUGGGCUGCUUCACCAAACAAAUGGAAGCACUGGGGAUUAUUGGAAGCUGGGAGAUUCGAAAACAAGUUGUUCUGUUUUUAUUGGAGUGCAAACUGAUUUUCCCUGAUUCCAUGAUAGAGGCUUGACCCAAUGUAUUUCUCAUAUCACACCUACUGAUCUGUAAACCCAGCUUCUACGCAUGUCCAGAGUUACAACGACACAAAAGAAACAAGAAUCGAAUUGGUUUUCAGGCUCAAAGUAAUCAGUCAGGCUCCUGAUGGCUAAAAUUUUUAUCUUGAAGACUCCAGAAUGAAGAUACAUUUAUUUUAAAAAAUGAUUUUUUACACACUAGAAAAUAUGAACUGGAUAUCAUAAUAGAAAAACUGAGCCAGGCCAGGGAAAACAUACUCCAAAUGUAGUUAAACUAUGAAAGGAUUUCAGAUUUUUAGGAAUAGUCACUUUGCAAAUAUGCAAAACAAUGGUAUCAUCAAAGGGAGUCUAAAAGUGCUCAAGUUAAAGAAUUUUUGUUCAGACAUGUGCUUAAGACCUUUCAACAUGCAUACAGAAAAAGCUGUUAUUAAGAAGAAUUGAUACAUAAUAAAG